rnacentral:lncRNA from 1 species
UUAAAGCCAUUUUGGAUGAACUUUUGCUUAUUUUUAAUGCGGGGGAUAUUGGGAGUUUUCAUAUAGGAUUGGUUAGCAAAUGGUUUAACUUUUUUUUUUUAUCAAACAAAUGGUUUAACCUUUUUUUUUGUCACUGACAAAUGGUUUAACUUAUUUAGUGUUUUUAGUUGCUUUGUUGAUAAGAAAAUAACAAAAACAAAAAGGAUGAUGGGAUGGGAGAGGGAGGAAGAAUGAG